rnacentral:rRNA from 1 species
GGAAUCGCUAGUAAUCGUGAAUCAGAAUGUCACGGUGAAUACGUUCCCGGGCCUUGUACACACCGCCCGUCACACCAUGGGAGUGGGUUGCACCAGAAGUAGCUAGUCUAACCUUCGGGAGGACGGUUACCACGGUGUGAUUCAUGACUGGGGUGAAGUCGUAACAAGGUAGCCGUAGGGGAACCUGCGGCUGGAUCACCUCCUUAAU